CCUCAGAUCUGUGUUAAACAAGAUGAGAUUUCUUUUAGUCUCUUUAGCAUUGCUUCUAACAAUUCAUACGUCUGAUGGAGUCAACAUUGUUCAGGAUCCCAAAAUAUCAUUUGUGAGCCAGAGUUCAUCUGUGAUGCUACAUUGUACACAAGAUAAGACUAACCACAACAUGAUGUCCUGGUACAGACGAAGACAAGACACACAGGAUCUUGAACUGCUGGCUUUUUCUGUCGGUAAAGACAAUGCUAAAAUUGAGCCUCCGUUUGAUAAAGCUGAUAAAUACGUAAUGACCCGUCCAGAGGUGCUGAAGGGAACGCUGCAGAUAGAGAAGCUGGAGGCUGCAGACUCUGCUUUAUAUUACUGUGCUACAAGUCUGACACAGUAACUCAG